AGAAGUAACGCCAACCCUGGGGACCGGGCUCCUGUCGCCGUCCAGCGUCACUUAAAGAUCCUGUCGGGCUCCGUUGACAUAGGAAGCUUCGCCCAUUGACGAUGCUGGAGAUACAGCGCGCUUAAUCCCGCGGGGAGGGAGAGUGGGCAGACACCGAAAGGGUUAACGGAAGGGAAAUUUCUGGAACCUUCUAUUCUGCGGCGCUCCGCAGCAAGCGGAAGGCUGAAGACUGCGCAGAUGGUGCACGGACAGAGCUCUUCGGUCCAGUUCGUCUCUCCCACUGACCAACAAUGAAGAUGGCAGCUCUGCCUGGAAGUUCUGACGACACAACCAGAUCUGAGCUUGGUCCUUCUGGCUGAGGAAGUCAUCUGAUUAUGCAGUGGAGUGGCCUCAAAUCCACCGAAUGAAGCUGCACCUACCCUACCUUUCACGCGGCCUCUGAUAGAGAGGGCAUUACAAGGUAACGAUUGGCUCAGAUUGCAAGUUAGGGCACAUUUGUCCAUACCUGACCCAUGCAACACCACACAGUAACAGAACUGCACAACAAACAGUUACCUGCUCCCCCAGGCUGAAGAAGGUUUUUUUUGAAACCUUAGAAGUUCACUCAUUUCAAUUCCCCUUACAGGUCACCACUUGUUCUGUCACACCCCUCUGUCCUGCACCUGGCCCUGGGUCUGACUCACUCCUUGACUGUGGGGAUGAUGCAUGGAGCCGCCUCUCUGCCUCGCAUUUUCUGCGUAUCAAAUGGGAAUAAUUCCUCCAGGAGAGACCAGGGCUUGAGGCACCAUGAGUUUCGUUCCUGGAGGUGGAAACGGAGGAGAGAAUUUAUGAUGUACACAAGGUCAUACAGAGGUCUGUUUUGCUUACUGUGGAAGCCCAAGAAGUGCCUUAAUAUAUAAGGUGCAGGUUGUGAGAAGUAAGAGGCCAACUAGGUCUGUGACGUCUAGGCUUGCCUUGCUCCUGCAGACUACGAAAGAAGUUCCUUUACAUGGGGAAGUCAGGGAUUUCUUCCCUUUUUGCCUUUAUCUUGUGCAGAUGUAAAGCAGUAUGAAGUUUGCGAAAUGAUGUGAGAUGGUACUCUGAAAGAAGCUAAGUACAGAACAGUACUACUACUAAAAUGUGUUUGAAAAGUAGGAAAGAAUCAGAAUGGAAAUUUUGUACCCUCUCUCCUGCUAUUUCUUGAAAACUCUGGAACAUUUUGAUGAAGCCAGCUAUAGCCGAUAGUAUUUGCAUAUCUCUGCACAUACAUGUGUGCAUCACCCACACAAACAUUCAGCACACCUAGCACAUGCUGGGGAAAAACACUGUUUUAUAGCAAGUUUUAAAUUUUUUUUUGCAUGCAUGUGUGUUAGCAGUUGAGCACUGUUUAUUACAGCAUCAUGAACUGC